AUUGAACGCUGGCGGAAUGCUUUACACAUGCAAGUCGAGCGGCAGCGCGGCCUUCGGGCUGGCGGCGAGCGGCGAACGGGUGAGUAAUGCAUCGGAACAUGCCCAGUCGUGGGGGAUAACACUUCGAAAGAAGUGCUAAUACCGCAUACGUCCUGAGGGGGAAAGCGGGGGAUCGCAAGACCUCGCGCGAUUGGAGUGGCCGAUGUCAGAUUAGCUAGUUGGUGGGGUAAAGGCCUACCAAGGCGACGAUCUGUAGCUGGUCUGAGAGGAUGAUCAGCCACACUGGGACUGAGACACGGCCCAGACCCCUACGGGAGGCAGCAGUGGGGAAUUUUGGACAAUGGGGGCAACCCUGAUCCAGCCAUUCCGCGUGAGUGAAGAAGGCCUUCGGGUGGUAAAGCCCUUUCGGCAGGAACGAAACGGUGGGCUAUAACAGAGUCCGCUAAUGACGGUACCGGAAGAAGAAGCACCGGCUAACUACGU
rnacentral:rRNA from 1 species